UGGUAAAGUGUUUUUACUCACGUCAUUAUAAGCUGGAAGCUGUUAUGAUAAAGGAAAGAUAAUUCUCCUUCACGAGCUUAAGUUUUCAAGAACCCGAAUACAAACACACGCACGCACACAUGCACAAUGAAAAUGAAUGACGAAAAAACUGAACAACUUUCAGUCAAGCAUCAGCGUGGGAACUAAGUGUCAGAAGGCAUGAAUCAAAAGACCGCAUCUCUCUUUAGAAAUAACAAAUUACUCAAAAUUGCAGCUCAUAUUUCUGAACAUAUUUGCUUUUAUUACUUUGUUAAUGAACUGCUCUUUCAGAAAGUUAGAAAGAAUUAAUCUCUUUUGUUCCUUUUCACUCUACAAGGCACUAGCCGUCAAUAUUACCAGUGAUGUGCAAAGUAUUCAGAAUUUGGCAUUUUAGUGCGUCACUCUUGAAUUCCUGUACUCUGCAUUGUUUUCUUCCUCAAGGUUGACUGUUGUUAGCUUAAUAUAUCCAGGAAUUGAGCAAAAUGAGUACUGAAGAACUGCUUCGCCACCGUAUGCUCAAAUUUCGGUCAAUUGGAGUUGGAGGUUAUAAAGAAGAUGGUCUGGUUGAACCUGAAAGGAAGCGUAACAUGAAGCCAUCCGAGGUAAAUGCCCCAAAGAAUGCUGACAUAGAAUCUGAGCUUGAAGAUCUGAGGAACAAAAUUUUUGAAGCAAAGGGUCCAUCU
rnacentral:lncRNA from 1 species